AUGAACGCUGGCGGCGUGCCUAAUACAUGCAAGUCGCGCGAACAGACGAGGAGCUUGCUCCUCUGAUGUUAGCGGCGGACGGGUGAGUAACACGUGGAUAACCUACCUAUAAGACUGGGAUAACUUCGGGAAACCGGAGCUAAUACCGGAUAAUAUAUUGAACCGCAUGGUUCAAUAGUGAAAGACGGUUUUGCUGUCACUUAUAGAUGGAUCCGCGCCGCAUUAGCUAGUUGGUAAGGUAACGGCUUACCAAGGCAACGAUGCGUAGCCGACCUGAGAGGGUGAUCGGCCACACUGGAACUGAGACACGGUCCAGACUCCUACGGGAGGCAGCAGUAGGGAAUCUUCCGCAAUGGGCGAAAGCCUGACGGAGCAACGCCGCGUGAGUGAUGAAGGUCUUCGGAUCGUAAAACUCUGUUAUUAGGGAAGAACAAAUGUGUAAGUAACUAUGCACGUCUUGACGGUACCUAAUCAGAAAGCCACGGCUAACUACGUG
rnacentral:rRNA from 1 species